UACGUAGGGGGCAAGCGUUGUCCGGAUUUACUGGGCGUAAAGAGCGCGUAGGCGGACGUUUAAGUGUGGCCUGAAAGCCCCCGGCUCAACCGGGGAUCCGGGUUGCAAACUGGACGUCUUGAGGGGGAUAGGGGAAGGUGGAAUUCCUGGUGUAGCGGUGAAAUGCGCAGAUAUCAGGAAGAACACCAGUGGCGAAGGCGGCUCACUGGCCCGGUACUGACGCUGAGGAGCGAAAGCAUGGGUAGCGAACAGG
rnacentral:rRNA from 1 species